GGGGAAAUAGUGUAGGGGUUAUCACGUUUGCUUUGCAUCGUUUAAACGUGCUUGUAGAAGGUCCGGGGUUCAAAUCCCCGUUUCUCCA
rnacentral:tRNA from 1 species